rnacentral:rRNA from 1 species
UACGUAGGGGGCAAGCGUUGUCCGGAUUUAUUGGGCGUAAAGAGCGUGUAGGCGGCCAGACAGGUCUGCUGUGAAAACUCGAGGCUCAACCUCGAGACGCCGGUGGAAACCGUCUGGCUAGAGUCCGGAAGAGGGAAGCGGAAUUUCCGGUGUAGCGGUGAAAUGCGUAGAUAUCGGAAGGAACACCAGUGGCGAAAGCGGCUUCCUGGUCCGACACCGACGUUCAGGCACGAAAGCGUGGGGAGCAAACAGG